UUGUGGGUAGGGGUGAAAGGCCAAUCAAACUCCGUGAUAGCUGGUUCUCCCCGAAAUGCAUUUAGGUGCAGCGUGAUGUGAGCUUGCCGGAGGUAGAGCUACUGGUUGGUUGAGCGGGACUAUCAUCUUAGCGACGUCAGCCAAACUCCGAAUGCCGGUUGAAGUGGUGCAUUGCAGUGAGACUGUGGGGGAUAAGCUUCAUAGUCGAGAGGGAAACAGCCCAGAUCGCCGGUUAAGGCCCCUAAGGGUGUGCUAAGUGGAAAAGGAUGUGGGAUCGCGAUGACAGCCAGGAGGUUGGCUUAGAAGCAGCCACCCUUGAAAGAGUGCGUAAUAGCUCACUGGUCGAGUGGUUCCGCGCCGACAAUGUAGUGGGGCUCAAGCACACCGCCGAAGCCGCGGCAACAAUGUUUUGUUGGGUAGGGGAGCGUCGUGUGUGGGGUGAAGCCGUAUCGUAAGGCGCGGUGGACUGCACGCGAGUGAGAAUGCAGGCAUGAGUAACGAAUGGCAAGUGAGAAUCUUGCCCGCCGGAUGACUAAGGGUUCCUGGGUCAAGUUCGUCUUCCCAGGGUGAGUCGGGUCCUAAGGCGAGGCCGACAGGCGUAGUCGAUGGUCAACGGGUUGAUAUUCCCGUACCCGUAUACGCGCGCCCAGUAUCGAAGCGGUGAUACUAACCACCCUGACCCUCCGGCAUGAUCAUCAUUGAUGAUCAGUUGGUGGUAACGCGUGGGGCCUGAUCCGUGGUAGGUCAGUGAUGGGGUGACGCAGUGAGGUAGCCGAGCCGCUUAUUGGAUUGCGGUGCAAGCGUGUGGCACGACAGCAUGUCAAAUGCGGCUGUCAAUAAGUGUGAGGCGUGAUGCGUAGCCCAAACGUUGGGUGAUGUUGGUGAUCCUGGACUGCCGAGAAAAGCCUCUAGCGAUGUGCGUGUACGGCCCGUACCCUAAACCGACACAGGUGGUCAGGUAGAGAAUACUAAGGCGCUCGGGUGAACUGUGGUUAAGGAACUCGGCAAAAUGCCCCCGUAACUUCGGGAGAAGGGGGACCACACUCGGUGGCACCACACACGUGGUGGAAGCUGAGGGUGGUCGCAGAGAAGAGAGGGGAGCGACUGUUUAUCAAAAACACAGGUCCGUGCGAAGACGAUGAAGUUGAUGUAUACGGACUGACGCCUGCCCGGUGCUGGAAGGUUAAGAGGACCUGUUAGACCCCUUGUUGGGUCGAAGCGGAGAAUUUAAGCCCCAGUAAACGGCGGUGGUAACUAUAACCAUCCUAAGGUAGCGAAAUUCCUUGUCGGGUAAGUUCCGACCUGCACGAAUGGCGUAACGACUCCCCUGCUGUCUCAACCACAGGCCCGGUGAAAUUGCAGUACGAGUAAAGAUGCUCGUUUCGCGCGGCAGGACGAAAAGACCCCGGGACCUUCACUAUAGCUUGGUAUUGGCAUUCGGUGCGGUUUGUGUAGGAUAGGUGGGAGACUGUGAAACCGUCACGCUAGUGGUGGUGGAGUCGUUGUUGAAAUACCACUCUGACCGUAGUGGAUAUCUAACCUUGGCCCAUGAUCUGGGUUGGGGACAGUGCCUGGUGGGUAGUUUAACUGGGGCGGUUGCCUCCCAAAAUGUAACGGAGGCGCCCAAAGGUUCCCUCAGCCUGGUUGGCAAUCAGGUGCAAGAGUGUAAGUGCACAAGGGAGCUUGACUGCGAGACUUACCAGUCGAGCAGGGACGAAAGUCGGGACUAGUGAUCCGGCACCUACUUGUGGAUGUGGUGUCGCUCAACGGAUAAAAGGUACCCCGGGGAUAACAGGCUGAUCUUCCCCAAGAGUCCAUAUCGACGGGAUGGUUUGGCACCUCGAUGUCGGCUCGUCGCAUCCUGGGGCUGGAGUAGGUCCCAAGGGUUGGGCUGUUCGCCCAUUAAAGCGGCACGCGAGCUGGGUUCAGAACGUCGUGAGACAGUUCGGUCUCUAUCCGCCGCGCGCGUUGAAACUUGAAAAAGGCUGUCCCUAGUACGAGAGGACCGGGACGGACGUACCUCUAGUGUGCCAGUUGUUCCGCCAGGAGCAUCGCUGGUUGGCUACGUACGGGAGGGAUAACCGCUGAAAGCAUCUAAGCGGGAAGCCUGUUUUAAGAUGAGGUUUCAUUCGAGGUUCCCAGCAGACUACUGGGUUGAUAGGCCGGAACUGGAAGCACCGCAAGGUGUGGAGGCGACCGGUACUAAUACACCAAUAAACACACCAAC
rnacentral:rRNA from 1 species